rnacentral:misc_RNA from 1 species
UGUUUAAUUUUGUUUUCUAGUGAAAGGCCUGCGCUUAACUGCGCGGCCCCCUAGAAACAAAUAUUAUACACAUUGUUUUUUGUUUUGGUUCUUUCUUCGGAGAGGAUCAAAUUAAAAAUUUAAAACUCUUCCUCUUCAAUUUACUUUGAAAGGAAAUGUAUUUUUAUUUAUUUUUAGUCAAUAACUUUUAAAAUUAAAAAGUUUAAAACUUUCAGCAACGGAUCUCUUGGUUCUCGCAUCGAUGAAGAACGCAGCGAAUUGCGAUAAGUAAUGUGAAUUGCAGAUUUUCGUGAAUCAUCGAAUCUUUGAACGCAUAUUGCACUCUAUAGUAUUCUAUAGAGUAUGCCUGUUUGAGCGUCAUUUCAUUCUAAAAACCUUUGGUUUUAUUAUUGGAAGUUUAUGUUAGUUACUUUGUGACUAACUCUUCUGAAAUGACUUGGCAAUUGGUUGUUUAAUCUUACAAUUUGCUUUAGGCUUUAUUAUUAGGUUUUACCAUUUAAUAAAUACCCUCU